AUGAUGUCUAGCAAGGAACACUGGGCCAAAAUUGUUAGAGCUAGAGUUCCCAGAGAGCGUGGGACAAUUAAUCAUCAUAUAUUCCCAACCCUCCGUGCAUCCCUUCGUCCUGACACAACUCGUUCUCUUUCCUGGCUCAAGACUUGGAGUUAUGUACCAAGUAUGGCAGUGAUAUGGAUAAGGUUAUUUGGCCUAAUUCUGAUGAUGGCAAGGAACUCUGCUAGGUUCCUCAAUAUCACCCCUACUUUCAACAACAGUCUUUCCGAAAUUAAAGCUCAAAUCAUCUUGUCUAGUAACAAAUCUUUGUUUCGAUCCUCCUCCUCUUUAUUUGACUUUAAACUUCUCAAAUUUUUCAAUGUUAAUCUGCAUCCUCCUAAAGCUCUUGUGAUGAAGGAAUUUAUUUGGCAACCCCCUAAUAGAUCUUAG